AGAUUUUAAAUCUGGAUACAAUGCUUUCCUGACCUAAUGAAAACUACAAUAUAAAUUGUAUUAUUGAUGUCACCUAGAUGGUAGGUAUGAUAUAAUGGCCCUGAAUGCAUUUUUUAUAUGAAUGAAAAUCAGUGUAAAAAUUCUGUUGUUAUGCACCCCAGAUGGAAUUACCAAAUUGCGAAUUUGGGUUUGAUUCUCUUGUGAUUACUUGAAUAAUUAGAUGUGGCAAAGGUAUGAGACAUUGCAUUUGAUAUACUUAGUUUGCUGGAACUUCAAAAUAAAUUGUACUUGUGACCUUGCACUUUUAUUGUCAAAAUCAUGAAUAGUGGUUCUUGAAAGUGUAUAUUCUUUGAAUUUGAUGUAGACUACCUUAAAGACUCCUUCCUUGAAUCUUGAAUCUUGAAUGAUGACAAUUUCCAGAACUAUGAGAUUUGUGAAAACUUUGUUUAUUGUGACUUACAAAUGUACCAACUAUCUUGCAGUUUUUUUAUCAUAAUUGUUGUAUUACUGUAUGGAAUUUGAUGUGGUGGUGGCUCUUAAAACAUAAUUCAACUGUUGUUCUAACUCUCGGAACUUUCCUACUAGUUCACAACAGCUUUCGCAUUUCAAGUCGCACAUAUAGAGAAACCUUCACUUGCAGACACUUUUAGGCGUCAGAUUUUUUCCACUCGUUAUUACAAUUUAUACAUGAGUUAUACUUGGAUAUUAAUUAUGAUUAGCUCAAACUUUCUUUACCCUCGGAAGGCAUUUGUUAGAGGAUAAAUAUUUAUUUUCCAGGAAUCAUAGGUCGAUAGACUUAGUUUCCCAUGUUUGAUAUCUAUUUUAAAAGAAAUAAAAUUCCUAGGAAAAUUCCAUGUUUGAUAGUUCUAUGGAAGUUAAACGAAACAUUGAUAUUUUAGUUCUCUGUGCUUUUCAUUUUUUAUGGAUGCCAUUCAGGUUUUUGUCAGGGAUAUUUACCUUCUAUUGCAUUUUAUGCCAAAUAAAAAUAUGUCAUGGAAGGAAAUUAUUUGUGGUUCUGAUAUCUUAUAUAUGAUUCACAAUAAGAAAAGCCUUUUACCCACAAUAAAGUUUGUAAGGAAGUCCUUUUUGUGAUGUCGAAUACUUAUGGGCCUUCUGGGUUUCACUAUUUCUAUUGUUAUAGUCUAGUUUUCAUUGCUUACACAUAAUUUUUUCUUACGUUUUUGUGCUUUUACUCUGGCUUGUAGCAGCAACGGUAUAUAAUUUGUCGCAUUCUGAUUGCUUAUAAU
rnacentral:lncRNA from 1 species